CUACGUGCCAGCAGCCGCGGUAAUACGGAGGAUGCGAGCGUUAUCCGGAUUUAUUGGGUUUAAAGGGUGCGUAGGCGGCCUGUUAAGUCAGCGGUGAAAUCUAGGAGCUUAACUCCUAAAUUGCCAUUGAUACUGGCGGGCUUGAGUGUAGAUGAGGUAGGCGGAAUGCGUGGUGUAGCGGUGGAAUGCAUAGAUAUCACGCAGAACUCCGAUUGCGAAGGCAGCUUACUAAGGUACAACUGACGCUGAAGCACGAAAGCGUGGGUAUCAAACAGGAUUAGAUACCCUGGUAGUCCACGCAGUAAACGAUGAUAACUGGGCGUAUGCGAUAUACAGUAUGCUCCUAAGCGAAAGCGUUAAGUUAUCCACCUGGGGAGUACGCCGGCAACGGUGAAACUCAAAGGAAUUGACGGGGGCCCGCACAAGCGGAGGAACAUGUGGUUUAAUUCGAUGAUACGCGAGGAACCUUACCCGGG
rnacentral:rRNA from 1 species